GCCCAAGGGCCAUGGAUAGUUCUUCCAUGGUCUCCCUCAAGGAGCAGAGCUCGUCGGAGCCUUGUGCCGAAAUGGCUUGGACUCUCUCAGACACCUGCCUCUGAAGGCGGGCAACCUUGUCGGUCGUCGUCUUGAGCUUCCUUCGAUAGUCAUCUACUUGCCCGCACCAACCGACUCGGUAAGCAUUGUAGUUCACCUC
rnacentral:lncRNA from 1 species